rnacentral:miRNA from 1 species
CGCCCCCUAUACGUCAUCAUUGAGUAAACUUUGACCCAGAAACUCACAGUCAGCAGACACUUCCUGGGAGGGAGGAUCUGCUGCUGAUUGGCUGGAAUGUGUCUGCUGGCUGUGAGGUUCCGGGUCAAAGUUUACUCAAUGAUGACGUAUAGGGGGCG